GGUUAAGUUAAUAAGGGCGCACGGUGGAUGCCUUGGCACUAGAAGCCGAAGAAGGACGUGACAAACGACGAAAUGCUUUGGGGAGCUGUAAGUAAGCGCUGAUCCAGAGAUGUCCGAAUGGGGGAACCCACUAACUAAUGGUUAGUAUCCAUAACUGUUAAGGUUAUGAGAAGGAAGACGCAGUGAACUGAAACAUCUAAGUAGCUGCAGGAAGAGAAAGCAAACGCGAUUGCCUUAGUAGCGGCGAGCGAAACGGCAGGAGGGCAAACCGAAGUGUUUACACUUCGGGGUUGUAGGACUGCGACGUGGGACUUUAAAAGGAUAGAAGAAUUACCUGGGAAGGUAAGCCAAAGAGAGUAAAAGCCUCGUAUUUAAAAUUCUUUUGAGCCCUAGCAGUAUCCUGAGUACGGCGAGACACGUGAAAUCUCGUUGGAAUCUGGGAGGACCAUCUCCCAACCCUAAAUACUCUCUAGUGACCGAUAGUGAACCAGUACCGUGAGGGAAAGGUGAAAAGCACCCCGGGAGGGGAGUGAAAUAGAACCUGAAACCGUGUGCCUACAACAAGUUCGAGCCCGUUAAUGGGUGAGAGCGUGCCUUUUGUAGAAUGAACCGGCGAGUUACGAUAUGAUGCGAGGUUAAGUUGAAGAGACGGAGCCGUAGGGAAACCGAGUCUUAAUAGGGCGAUUUAGUAUCAUGUUGUAGACCCGAAACCAUGUGACCUACCCAUGAGCAGGUUGAAGGUGAGGUAAAACUCACUGGAGGACCGAACCAGGGCACGUUGAAAAGUGCUUGGAUGACUUGUGGGUAGCGGAGAAAUUCCAAACGAACUUGGAGAUAGCUGGUUCUCUCCGAAAUAGCUUUAGGGCUAGCGUCGAUGUUAAGUCUCUUGGAGGUAGAGCACUGUUUGGGUGAGGGGUCCAUCUCGGAUUACCAAUCUCAGAUAAACUCCGAAUGCCAACGAGAUAUCAUCGGCAGUCAGACUGCGAGUGCUAAGAUCCGUAGUCGAAAGGGAAACAGCCCAGACCACCAGCUAAGGUCCCAAAAUAACUGUUAAGUGGAAAAGGAUGUGGGGUUGCACAGACAACUAGGAUGUUAGCUUAGAAGCAGCUAUUCAUUCAAAGAGUGCGUAAUAGCUCACUAGUCGAGUGACCCUGCGCCGAAAAUGUACCGGGGCUAAAACAGUUUACCGAAGCUGUGGAUGACACAAAAGUGUCAUGGUAGGAGAGCGUUCUAUGUGUGAAGAAGGUGUACCGUGAGGAGCGCUGGAACGCAUAGAAGUGAGAAUGCCGGUAUGAGUAGCGAAAGACAGGUGAGAAUCCUGUCCACCGUAAGACUAAGGUUUCCAGGGGAAGGCUCGUCCGCCCUGGGUUAGUCGGGACCUAAGGAGAGACCGAAAGGUGUAUCCGAUGGCCAACAGGUUGAUAUUCCUGUACUAGAGUAUAUAGUGAUGGAGGGACGCAGUAGGCUAACUAAACCGGACGAUUGGAAGAGUCCGGCUAAGCAGUGAGGUGUAAGAUGAGUCAAAUGCUUAUCUUUAUAACAUUGAGCUGUGAUGGGGAGCGAAUUUUAGUAGCGAAGUUAGUGAUGUCACACUGCCAAGAAAAGCUUCUAGCGUUUAAUGAUACUCUACCCGUACCGCAAACCGACACAGGUAGUCGAGGCGAGUAGCCUCAGGUGAUCGAGAGAACUCUCGUUAAGGAACUCGGCAAAAUGACCCCGUAACUUCGGGAGAAGGGGUGCUGACUUAGGUCAGCCGCAGUGAAUAGGCCCAAGCAACUGUUUAUCAAAAACACAGCUCUCUGCUAAAUCGUAAGAUGAUGUAUAGGGGGUGACGCCUGCCCGGUGCUGGAAGGUUAAGAGGAGGGUUUAGCGCAAGCGAAGAUCUGAAUUGAAGCCCCAGUAAACGGCGGCCGUAACUAUAACGGUCCUAAGGUAGCGAAAUUCCUUGUCGGGUAAGUUCCGACCCGCACGAAAGGCGUAAUGAUUUGGGCACUGUCUCAACGCGAGACUCG
rnacentral:rRNA from 1 species